AGAGAUGCUUAGUGCCUUCGGGAACGUCUGAGACAGGUGCUGCAUGGCUGUCGUCAGCUCGUGUUGUGAAAUGUUGGGUUAAGCCCGCAACGAGCGCAACCCUUUAUCCUUUGUUGCCAGCACGUAAUGGUGGGAACUCAAAGGAGACUGCCGGUGAUAAACCGGAGGAAGGUGGGGAUGACGUCAAGUCAUCAUGGCCCUUACGAGUAGGGCUACACACGUGCUACAAUGGCGCAUACAAAGAGAAGCGACCUCGCGAGAGCAAGCGGACCUCAUAAAGUGCGUCGUAGUCCGGAUUGGAGUCUGCAACUCGACUCCAUGAAGUCGGAAUCGCUAGUAAUCGUAAAUCAGAAUGUUACGGUGAAUACGUUCCCGGGCCUUGUACACACCGCCCGUCACACCAUGGGAGUGGGUUGCAAAAGAAGUAGAUAGCUUAACCUUCGGGAGGGCGUUUACCACUUUGUGAUUCAUGACUGGGGUGAAGUCGUAACAAGGUAAGCGUAGUGCU
rnacentral:rRNA from 1 species